ACGCUCGACACCACGGGAGCAGCAGUGGGGGAUAUUGCACAAUGGGGGAAACCCUGAUGCAGCAACGCCGCGUGUGGGAAGAAGGUUUUCGGAUUGUAAACCACUGUUCUCAGGGACGAUAAUGACGGUACCUGAGGAGAAAGCUCCGGCUAACUACGUGCAGCAGCCGCGGUAAUCUGAGCGGGCUGGCAAGGC
rnacentral:rRNA from 1 species